rnacentral:rRNA from 1 species
CCUACGGGUGGCAGCAGUGGGGAAUAUUGCGCAAUGGGCGAAAGCCUGACCCAGCGACGCCGCGUGAGGGAUGAAGGUCUUCGGAUCGUAAACCUCUGUCAGCAGGGAAGAACGGUCACUGUGCUAAUCAGCAGUAAAUUAACGGUACCUGCAAAGUAAGCACCGGCUAACUCCGUGCCAGCAGCCGCGGUAAUACGGAGGGUGCGAGCGUUAAUCGGAAGUACUGGGCGGAAAGCGCUCGUAGGCGGUAUGUCAAGUCAAGGGUGAAAUCCCCGGGCUCAACGUGGGAACUGCCUUUGAAACUGGCAAACUGGAGUGGGUGAGAGGAUAGUGGAAUUCCAGGUGUAGGAGUGAAAUGCGUAGAUAUCUGGAGGAACAUCAGUGGCGAAGGCGACUAUCUGGCACAUAACUGACGCUGAGGAGCGAAAGCGUGGGUAGCAAACAGGAUUAGAUACCCCGGUAGUC